CCGGCCCUGGGCGAACAUGGCGCCUCCCACCCGCAGCGCUCUGGAAGCGGAGCCGUCCUGGGUCCAAGGCGGCCGGCUGAGGGGCUCCGCGGCUCUGAAAGAGGAACGGCCAGGCCAGAGGAGAGCAGCGGCGCUUUAGGUGCCGUCUUUCCGGCGUCCGCGCGUCACGGGACUCGGAUCUUGCUCUUUUUGGCAGUCCCUGGAAGGAUGCACAAGGAUUUGAGUUUGGGCACCCAGGUGAUCCUAGCCUGGACCAGCUCUGGGUCUGGCUAUGUGCUUCGAGGGUCAUCCAUCUCCGUCUACUGCAACGCUGGUUCUGAGCAUCUGGACCGGAGACCACAGGCUGCGGGAUGGGCUGUAUGUGAACCCGAGUGCUCUAGCUCAGGUAGGCUGCACCAGCGUGGGCAGCACUUCCGUCUUUCUC